GACGAACGCUGGCGGCGUGCUUAACACAUGCAAGUCGAACGGAAAGGCCCUGCUUGCAGGGUACUCGAGUGGCGAACGGGUGAGUAACACGUGGGUUAUCUGCCCUGCACUUCGGGAUAAGCCUGGGAAACUGGGUCUAAUACCGGAUAGGAGCCAUUUUAGUGUGAUGGUUGGAAAGUUUUUUCGGUGGAGGAUGAGCUCGCGGCCUAUCAGCUUGUUGGUGGGGUAAUGGCCUACCAAGGCGGCGACGGGUAGCCGGCCUGAGAGGGUGGACAGCCACAUUGGGACUGAGAUACGGCCCAGACUCCGACGGGAGGCAGCAGGGGGGAAUAUUGCACAAUGGGCGCAAGCCUGAUGCAGCGACGCCGCGUGGGGGAUGACGGCCUUCGGGUUGUAAACUCCUUUCGCUAGGGACGAAGCUUUUUGUGACGGUACCUAGAUAAGAAGCACCGGCUAACUACGUG
rnacentral:rRNA from 1 species